AAAAAACAUACGCGCUCUCUGGCAGAACAACCACGCACGCUCUGGCUCUUUCGCUCUCUCCCUCAAUCCUACCAAUCCAGCAAUCACCAUCGGCUUCGUCUCUCUCUCGCCCGUCCAUUGCAUCUCUCACAUCUCUCACAGCGCCUCACUCUCUCGGCUGUCUCAAAAAUUUGACUUGCAGCCUCACUCUCUUAGCUUCACUCGUCGAUUUCUAGCGGUAAUUUGCUUAAUUAAUUCCAAAUUUGAUUGUAAAGAUAAUUAAUUGUAAAGAUUCAGCUGUCAUUUAGUUAAACAAGGGAAGCUUGCUGCAACACACCAUGAAUUGAAUAUAAAUUAUUCUGACAAAUAAUUGAGGAUAAUGUUUAUCCAAUAUCUACAUAAAAUUCUUGCACUGUAAGUAGUGAUAAGUUUUUUAUUUAUUCAUCUUGCCUUUAUUUUUUCGGAUGACAACAAGAUGUUUAAUUUUUUUAUAAUAGCACACACAAGCUCAGCGACAUGGACAUUUUCAGCAGCUACACUUUCAACAAGAUAAUGAAUAUGGAGUUAAUAGGGAGUUAUUUC
rnacentral:lncRNA from 1 species